AGAGACUUGGUUGGUAGUUCUGAGAAUAAAUGAGGAUUUAAUUUAGUGAUGGACCACAGCAGUCAGCAGCUCUUUGGAUAAAUGCCAUUUCAUCAUAUCCCCCAUUCAGCCCUCCCAUAUGGCUGCUUCUUCUUCUCGCCACUCCCCUCAAUUCACCCCCAUUCAAGAGGAGCGUGAAUUGGACCCAACUCACCCUCCAACCCCUAUUGUCCACCCCAAGAAAAACAUAUCAGAUGGCUCCGUCUCUUGCAACAAGUGCAGGCCUCACUCCCGCGACAAAAUCUUCAUCCUCCCUUUUGAUCACUCCUCCUCCUCCUCUCACAAACACUCUUCCUUGCUCUCAAGCCCCAACGGGAUUUUCAGGUCCCUUGUUUCCAAGCUCUCCCGCAAGAGCCCCAUGUCUUCUUCCUCACAUGACCCUCCCACCUCCCGAGAGGAACAUUGGAAAUUGGCUGUGGCCGAACUCUCCCACAAGCUUCUCCACGCCACCAGGAAAAGAGACGAGGCCCUCCUAGAAGCUUCCAGACUCAUGCACUCCAUGUCCCAGUUAGAGAAGAAGCUCAACAAGCUCGAACUCUAUUGCCACACCUUGAAAUCUGGCCUCGAACAAUGCACCAGCUCCACUACUUCUUCUACUUCUCCUUCCCUCUUCAAUCCUCAAACCCUCCAACAUGACUCCGUUAUUCAGCACUUCUUGGUCUCGGUCUCCGAAGCAAGAUCAAGUGUAAGGCUUUUGUCUCGCUCCUUAACCAUGCAACUGAGGCACAUGGGAAACAAGGUGUACGAGAAAGUCUCCUUCCUUCUCCAACCCUACGACGUGAAAAUAUCUUUCUCAAAGAGCCCAACAAGAAGCUUGGUUUUGUACCUAGAAGCCCUCUUGAACAGAACCUUCUUCGAGGACUUUGAGACAAUAGGGUUCCAGAAGAACGCGUGCAACACGACGCUGAACCCAAUGGAGAGGUGCGAGGGGAGCUUUGAGUCGUUCAAGAUGCUUCACGGGCUGACAUGGGAGGAGGUGCUGAGCAAAGGAACGAGGCACUUCAGCGAGGAGUUCAGCAGGUUUUGGCGACAGGAAAAUGAGCGAGAUAGUGGCCAUGUUGGGCUGGAACCGGGCCUGGCCCGAGGCCCUGUUGCAGGCCUUCUUUGGGGCCUCGAAGAGCGUGUGGAUGCUGCACUUGCUGGCCAACUCGGUGCACCCGAGUUUGCCAAUAUUCAGAGUGGAGAAAGGGCUUAAGUUUGAUUCGGUUUACAUGGAGGAUAUGGGUGGGGACAAGGCUGGAUCCAAGUUGCUCCCUGAUGUGGUCAGGAUAAUGGUUGCGCCAGGUUUUUAUGUCUAUGGCAGUGCUGUCAAAUGUAAGGUCCUUUGCAGGUACUUGAGUAGCAGUAAUAAUAUUUCUAACAAGGAAGACAAAGCUUUAACCCCAACCCAUUGACUUUCUUCCUAUACAAAAAAAAACAUUCAAUCAAUGCUUUCAUUUGUAAGUUUCGAAUUUCGAUGGAUGAAUCACUUUCUCUCUAGUAUUUUUGUUUUUUAUGUUAGCCAAUAUUGUUCGUGAUAUUCUAUAUUAUUACUAUUAGGCAAUCUUGGUGCUGCUGCGUGUUAUGUUUUGGGUUGGGAUGGUGCCAUGGUGGUAGUGGUACUAUAUCUACUAUGUCGACAUUUUUGGGUCAAAGUGAACAAUUUGGCAUUUUCUGGUUUCCCUUUGUUU